rnacentral:rRNA from 1 species
UAGGGAAUCUUCCACAAUGGACGCAAGUCUGAUGGAGCAACGCCGCGUGAGUGAAGAAGGUUUUCGGAUCGUAAAGCUCUGUUGUUGGUGAAGAAGGAUAGAGGUAGUAACUGGCCUUUAUUUGACGGUAAUCAACCAGAAAGUCACGGCUAACUACGUGCCAGCAGCCGCGGUAAUACGUAGGUGGCAAGCGUUGUCCGGAUUUAUUGGGCGUAAAGCGAGCGCAGGCGGAAGAAUAAGUCUGAUGUGAAAGCCCUCGGCUUAACCGAGGAACUGCAUCGGAAACUGUUUUUCUUGAGUGCAGAAGAGGAGAGUGGAAUUCCAUGUGUAGCGGUGGAAUGCGUAGAUAUAUGGAAGAACACCAGUGGCGAAGUCGACUCUCUGGUCUGCAACUGACGCUGAGGCUCGAAAGCAUGGGUAGCGAACAGG